UAACUUGUGUUUCUUACUGCAGGUAAAGGCCUUUUUAUACUAGAAGAUGUAAUCAUGAGAACCUAUAUGUAGACUAGCCACCUCCUGUUUAGCUCAGUCAGUUAGAUAAACAUUGGGAGCAGCUUAUUGCCAGCUCCUGCUUAGAAAAAACAUCUGAAGGUUAUCCCAAACUGCCAGCUCCUGCUUUGAGCUUGUUGCCCAAGUUUUAAGCUGCUCUAAGAGCAGCCACUUGCUGCACACACUUAAUUUUAUGUCUGCAGGUUCUUAAUUGUGGUUAGAAGUGUGUACACAUGUGUUUCCAAUAAGCUACUAGGUUUUAAAAGCACUUCCAGCUAAAGAAAAAAAUCAAGAAGAAGGAGCAUAAUAAGCUAAGCAUUUGCUGGAAAUUUUGGUACAUUUGCAAGAAGUAAUGGCAGCAAAUCAAGGAAACUAUAAGUACAAAACAUAAAUAAGAAAUUGAUGUAAUGUGACAUUUGGAAACAUGUAUUAAUGUGAAUAUUGUAAAUAUAGUACUUGUAGCUAUCUAUGUAACCUUAUUAAGCACAAUCUGUACUAUUUUUCUUUUCUUUUCUUUUUCUUUUUGACAAAGAAUGUAAACAGGUAAAUGUUUGCUUUUGUUUGUAAGAAACACUUGUGUUCUACUCUAGCAUUUUGUUAACAAAA